GUGUGGUGCAGUGAUUUUAAGUGGCAGCAGAGGAUACUACAAUGUGAUCUCGACCUACUGGAGGAAGAGCCUGAGCUAGCCAUUUUCCAGGAGCUACAACCAGCUGUGAGCUCUGACGUGGAAAGAGCUUGAGGAAAGGGUCAUGUAACACGAAAAAUCUAGGUCUCCGGUACAAGGAUCCUCCGCCAAAUGAACCAGGACUUCUGGCACACCACGCGAAAUGGCGUACUGUCUACUUUUUAAUGGAUUUAAUGGAUAUUUGUUUGCAACACACAACGCAUUUCAGAACAUUGUCUUGGCGCACUUAAUUCCAUCCUUCUUUCUUGGGAAAAAGCGGACAAGCAAGCUGAGGGAAGCAAGGCACAGAGCUCGACAGUAACAACAAUGUAGUUCCAAGGAAGUAGACAGCCGGGCGAAGCAGAGGGAGCGAGCUGCCCUGCCGAGGAAGCGCACAACUAUAUCUGAAAAUUGGACAGCUUGACAGCCAAAGACCUUUUCAUAAACAAGCGCAGCUUCUGUGUCCUGAGAUUAGGACAACAACAGCACGGGCGAAAGGAGCGUCGCAUUAAGGUGCAGAUCCAAUACAAAUCUCUAAAUCCGUUUUGUCAUCGUCCUAAGCUAACAACUAUUUUGUGAGCUACAAAAUUGUGCAAAAAGACAAUCCCAAUCGCAAUCCCAUAGCAAAAGGGUGAAGAAUUCUGCAAGCUCUGUUGUCAGCCGAAAAUUCAAGUCUUGACUCCUGACAACUUCACAAAUUACAAUUUGGUUAAAUAAGCAGCGCCACUUAAGCAUCAACCUAUUGUAUAGCUAACAGGCAUAGCUAUCAAAUCACAUAUUUCGUGUCGGAUAAUUUAUUCUAUAAAUUCAUUCUUUGACCAAUUUGAUUAAAAUGGAA